rnacentral:rRNA from 1 species
AUUGAACGCUGGCGGCAGGCCUAACACAUGCAAGUCGAACGAGUGGCGGACGGGUGAGUAAUGUCUGGGAACCUGCCCGAUGGAGGGGGAUAACUACUGGAAACGGUAGCUAAUACCGCAUACUAUCGGAUGUGCCCAGAUGGGAUUAGCUAGUAGGGGGGGUAACGGCUCACCUAGGCGACGAUCCCUAGCUGGUCUGAGAGGAUGACCAGCCACACUGGAACUGAGACACGGCCCAGACUCCUACGGGAGGCAGCAGUGGGGAAUAUUGCACAAUGGGCGAAAGCCUGAUGCAGCCAUGCCGCGUGUAUGAAGAAGGCCUUCGGGUUGUAAAGUACUUUCAGCGAGGAAGCGUUACCCGCAGAAGAAGCACCGGCUAACUACGUGCCAGCAGCCGCGGUAAUUC